AUACUUACCUGGCAGGGGAGAUACCAUGAUCAUAAAGAUGGUGUUCCCAGGACAAGGCUUAUCCGUUGUACUCCGGAUGUGCUGACCCUUGCAGUUUCUCCAAAUGUGAGAAACGUGACUGUAUAAUUUGUGGUAGUGGGGAUUAUGCUCAUGCUUUCUUC